AUGGACGCGGUGGUGCCGGAGACGCCGGACCUGGACGCGGCCAUGGACGUGGAGAAGCCGGCCAUGGACGCGGGGCACAGCUAUGGCGGCGCGACGGCAGGGUGUCGGGGACGGCCACGAGCGCUGCUGGCAAAACUCGAGGCGCGGCGGCUGGGUGCGUUGGCGGCUGGUGGACGAGCUCCACGUGUGCGCCAAACUCCGGCGGCUGGUGGCCUGCUCCCCGGCGUCCACGCGCUCGUGCUGUAG
rnacentral:rRNA from 1 species